rnacentral:rRNA from 1 species
AUUGAACGCUGGCGGCAGGCCUAACACAUGCAAGUCGAGCGAGAAGGUCAUUUCGGUGACUGGGCAGCGGCGGACGGGUGAGUAACGCGUGGGAAUAUACCUUUCGGUGGGGGACAACAGUUGGAAACGACUGCUAAUACCGCAUACGCCCUUUCGGGGGAAAGAGUUUAUCGCCGAGAGAUUAGCCCGCGUUAGAUUAGGUAGUUGGUGUGGUAACGGCGCACCAAGCCGACGAUCUAUAGCUGGUCUGAGAGGAUGAUCAGCCACACUGGGACUGAGACACGGCCCAGACUCCUACGGGAGGCAGCAGUGGGGAAUAUUGCGCAAUGGAGGAAACUCUGACGCAGCCAUGCCGCGUGAGUGAAGAAGGCCUUAGGGUUGUAAAGCUCUUUCAACUGUGAGGAUGAUGACAGUAGCAGUAGAAGAAGCACCGGCUAACUUCGUG